UACGUAGGGGGCAAGCGUUAUCCGGAUUUACUGGGUGUAAAGGGAGCGCAGACGGCAGUGCAAGUCUGAUGUGAAAGCCCGGGGCUCAACCCCGGAACUGCAUUGGAAACUGUACAGCUUGAGUGUCGGAGAGGUAAGCGGAAUUCCUAGUGUAGCGGUGAAAUGCGUAGAUAUUAGGAGGAACACCGGUGGCGAAGGCGGCUUACUGGACGAUGACUGACGUUGAGGCUCGAAAGCGUGGGGAGCAAACAGGAUUAGAAACCCCAGUAGUCC
rnacentral:rRNA from 1 species